AACCUACCUAUCGAGACGGGGAAUAACCCGGCGAAAGUCGGACUAAUACCGCAUAAAACAGGGGGCACCGCAUGGUGAUAUUUGUAAAGAAUUCGCUGAUAGAUGGGCAUGCGUUCCAUUAGGGUAGUUGGUGAGGUAACGGCUCACCAAGCCGACGAUGGAUAGGGGAACUGAGAGGUUGGUCCCCCACACUGGUACUGAGACACGGACCAGACUCCUACGGGAGGCAGCAGUGAGGAAUAUUGGUCAAUGGGCGGGAGCCUGAACCAGCCAAGUCGCGUGAAAAGGAAGAAGGAUCUAUGGUUCGUAAACUUCUUUUGCAGGGGAAUAAAGUGCAGGACGUGUCCUGUUUUGUAUGUACCCUGAGAAUAAGGAUCGGCUAACUCCGUGCCAGCAGCGGC
rnacentral:rRNA from 1 species